CUCCUCCAAGUACAAGAACUCCGCUCCAUUGCAAGGUUGGAUGCAGAGAAUUAAGAAAGGGCAGAUUACAGUCGAUGGAGAUGUGGGUUUUAGUCUUUGUGGUUUUGAGGUUUGUCAUACAAGUUAGCAACAAAGUCUAUGAGGUAACUUGUCUUA